rnacentral:rRNA from 1 species
UACAGAGGUCCCAAGCGUUGUUCGGAUUCACUGGGCGUAAAGGGUGCGUAGGUGGUGAGGUAAGUCGGAUGUGAAAGCUCGGAGCUCAACUCCGAAAUGGCAUUGGAAACUACCUUGCUCGAGGGUUGGAGGGGGGACUGGAAUACUUGGUGUAGCAGUGAAAUGCGUAGAUAUCAAGUGGAACACCAGUGGCGAAGGCGAGUCCCUGGACAACUCCUGACACUGAGGCCCGAAAGCUAGGGGAGCAAACAGG